rnacentral:rRNA from 1 species
GACGAACGCUGGCGGCGUGCUUAACACAUGCAAGUCGAACGGUAAGGCUCCAGCUUGCUGGGGUACACGAGUGGCGAACGGGUGAGUAACACGUGGGUGACCUGCCCUGCACUUCGGGAUAAGCCUGGGAAACUGGGUCUAAUACCGGAUAGGACCGCACCGUGAGGGUGUGGUGGAAAGUUUUUUCGGUGUGGGAUGGGCCCGCGGCCUAUCAGCUUGUUGGUGGGGUAAUGGCCUACCAAGGCGGCGACGGGUAGCCGGCCUGAGAGGGUGGACGGCCACAUUGGGACUGAGACACGGCCCAGACUCCUACGGGAGGCAGCAGUGGGGAAUAUUGCACAAUGGGCGGAAGCCUGAUGCAGCGACGCCGCGUGGGGGAUGACGGCCUUCGGGUUGUAAACUCCUUUCACCAUCGACGAAGGGUUUCUGACGGUAGAUGGAGAAGAAGCACCGGCUAACUACGUGCCAGCAGCCGCGGUAAUACGUAGGGUGCGAGCGUUGUCCGGAAUUACUGGGCGUAAAGAGCUCGUAGGUGGUUUGUCGCGUCGUCUGUGAAAUUCCGGGGCUUAACUCCGGGCGUGCAGGCGAUACGGGCAUAACUUGAGUACUGUAGGGGAGACUGGAAUUCCUGGUGUAGCGGUGAAAUGUGCAGAUAUCAGGAGGAACACCGGUGGCGAAGGCGGGUCUCUGGGCAGUAACUGACGCUGAGGAGCGAAAGCAUGGGGAGCGAACAGGAUUAGAUACCCUGGUAGUCCAUGCCGUAAACGGUGGGCGCUAGGUGUGGGUUUCCUUCCACGGGAUCCGUGCCGUAGCUAACGCAUUAAGCGCCCCGCCUGGGGAGUACGGCCGCAAGGCUAAAACUCAAAGGAAUUGACGGGGGCCCGCACAAGCGGCGGAGCAUGUGGAUUAAUUCGAUGCAACGCGAAGAACCUUACCUGGGCUUGACAUAUACAGGAUCGCGCCAGAGAUGGUGUUUCCCAUGUGGCUUGUAUACAGGUGGUGCAUGGUUGUCGUCAGCUCGUGUCGUGAGAUGUUGGGUUAAGUCCCGCAACGAGCGCAACCCUUGUCUUAUGUUGCCAGCACGUUGUGGUGGGGACUCGUAAGAAACUGCCGGGGUUAACUCGGAGGAAGGUGGGGAUGACGUCAAAUCAUCAUGCCCCUUAUGUCCAGGGCUUCACACAUGCUACAAUGGUCGGUACAGUGGGUUGCCAGUCCGUGAGGGCGAGCUAAUCCCGCAAAGCCGGUCUCAGUUCGGAUCGGGGUCUGCAACUCGACCCCGUGAAGUCGGAGUCGCUAGUAAUCGCAGAUCAGCAACGCUGCGGUGAAUACGUUCCCGGGCCU